AUGGGAGCUUGGGGAGCGGGGCAAACCCCACCCUUAAAGACAACAAAACAGGUGCAGAGGCUGCGGGCGAUAGUCCUGCAGGGGAGGAGAAUGGAGGAGAAGUUUUGGUGGCGAGCGAGCAGGAACAGUGUCCAGGGUCUCUCCGCCGCCUUCCGGGCUUGCAAGCCCGCGCAGCCAGACCCUACCCAGAGGGGCGCCCCCUCGCGGGUCCCCAGCCACCACCUGCAGCUGCUGCUGUCACCUACUGUGCCACCCCCAAGUUUGAUACUCUGGGCUUUUGCACCACCCCUACCUCCCUUUCCUUCCACGAAUUUCUCCCUUUGCUCUCUCCCCCCCAGUUCCGCGAGAGAUGGCCCGGCGAAGACAGACCUCCUGGACUUAAGGCCGAGUUCACCAAAUCCGCCCCGGGGAAAGGCGAGGGCAAAGGCGGGGUGGACCGACCCAGCUGCGGCUGAGUGGCUGAGGUCCCGAGCAGGGCAGACGAGCGCAGGAGAACUCAGGAGCAGAGAUGGGGAGCUGGAUCUGCGCAGAACCCCGGAAAAGCGCCAGCAGGACUGCACCGAGAACAAAUCCUCCGCUCCCUCGCCCAGGGCUGGGGCGCAGCGCGCUGGUGCUCCUCUGGAGCUGGGCGGUCCCCGUGCUCCAAACAAGAAGCUGACUUCUGGAUCCUUCACUCUUUGAUCCUGACCCAAGCCACUCGUGCCACCAGGAGCGCAUGCCUCUGGAAUACUCGCUCCUGUCUCCUUGUGGUGAAGCCUUCCGCUGAUGCCCAGAGUCUCCCAGGCUGAAUUAGUGGGUAGGAGCAAAACAGGAUGGUGGAGACGAUCAGCAGAGCAGCAGCGUCUGUUUCCUCGGGAUUCCUCCCAGGAACACUAUUCGAAGCCAUUCCUUCUAAAAGUUUGCAGCCAGUCUCUCUUUCCUUUGUUCGUUUUUAGAGGAGGCAGUAGAGCUACCUACAUUUAAAAAACCAAAGCCUGAUACUGAUAACCUAAGUCUUUACUUAACCAUCCUGUUUGGAGGCUUUGCACACAUUACUUUUCCUCUAUGCAUUGGCAUUUCUGAAAUAAGGAUGGUUAUGCUGGUGUGCUUGGAAUUUCUCUGAAAUAUACCCCUAAAUGAUUAGACUAAAAAUCAGAUUCUGCUACUUUAAAAGGAAAAAAUAUAUAUUUAUCUGUUAAAAAAAAAAAAAAAAGGCAAUACAUGUUCUCCAAGAUGUUAAUUAAAGGCUUCUCUCAAAUGGAUUGGAUUUUCAAUUCCUUCAGGGUUUUUCCACACCCUAAUAGUAUUGCAACUGUAAGGCAUUUUUACAGUGUAAUCUGAUUAAUCUUCAGUUAAUAUAGAAUUAUGCCCACAGGAGUAUAGGAAUUGUUUAUAAAACAAAGCAGUCCAGGCUUUUCAAAUACCUAGAAACAAAGGUAAACAGAACUGGAAAUAUACAACGUGUUCUACACAGUUCCACUGAAAGUCUUUUUGUAGAUUUUUUUUUUUUUCCUUAAGAAAGUACUCUUUGCCCAAAUAUGUGUUCUAUGUGACGGGGUCCAUUCUUCUUAAUAUAUCUACACUGGUGAAGAAUGAACUAUAUACCAAUAAGGUAUAUUAUUGAAAGAGUAGAAAUGGAUUUAAACAACAACCACACAAACAAAUCAAAUAUCCAGCAAAACAGAUGAGUGUUGUCUUUCAGAGCAAUUGCUUUGGAAAAUUCAACUGAUUUCAGUGAUAUUGAUUGCACAAAACAUUUUUUAUCUUCUUUGAAAUUGCCUUUCAGAAGCAUAUUAGCAGCCAUAAACAACUAUUUGUCUCACUCCGUUAUAGAUGUGUAUUUGUCUUAGUAGAUUCAUAUAGUUCCACAGACAUCUAGUCAGCAACCUCGAAAGAGUAAAUGAUCUCUAUGAUUAAUGUCCUUUAAUAAAGUUUAGAAUUGGAUGAGAAACUGAUAAACUGAAAUUAAAGUCACUUUAUAGUGUAUCAUGUUAUCAAGGAUAGCUGUGGGAAUUAGCUUAUGACACUUUUGUGCAUCACAGUCUAAUUAAUAUCCUUAAAUGUGCAUGCAUAUCCUGUGUAUUGUAGUAACAACAAACCACUGUGAUGAAUGUCCAUAAACCCAAUUAUGACACUGACAGGAGAUUGGGAGUUUGUGGAAUUGGUGGUGAAAUAUCGAUUAAUCCAAAUUGAAAUAGGAUAAGAUUAUUGAUGCUUGAUUUCUUUUGUAUCAAAUCAUUUAGUUGCUCAGGAAAUUCCAUUUCUAACCAGAAUAUGUGCUGUGACUGCUCUUCAAAUAGAGAACAGACUCAAACUCACAUGCCUACAUGGUUAGGGCCAAUGACAUAAAUGGACCAGCAAGCUAGGUUGUAGGAGAGUGUGGAAAAUGGUGAUUGCUAUAACACCUUGAAGAGCACAAAAGCACAUGCUAUAGCUGAAUGGGGAGAUUGCUUCUCAGAUUACACUCAGCUGGCCUGCAAAAAUCUCGAUUCAGUAUUGUCAGAUCUGAUUUUUAAGAGAAGCAAAAUCCAUAUUGUUAAAAAUCUUCUGAAUUUUAAAUAAGCAAAAUUAAUUUUUAAAAAUUCAAAACUCCUAGUGGACAGGCCAAAAUAAAUAAGAAAUAAUAGAUAGAUAGAUAGAUAGAUAGAUAGAUAGAUAGAUAGAUAGCAGCCUGACUCAUCCUGGGCCUCCAAUAUUGUAACCUGUGAUAUUAGUAUUUGAUGUUUGACAAAUCUCCUAAAAUAUUUAAAACAUACUUCUACUACCAUUUCCCCUACCCCAUUGACCAUUUCUCAAUGCACAGAAAUACAAGAGGAAUACAACCAAAGAUUAGUUGCCAAAUAAGUAAUGUUCUUUUCCAUAUCUGGUUGAAUAGAUAUUCCCAAGGAAAUUCUACAGUAAGGGAUUUGUUGAAUAACUGAACAAUCCAAAUAUUUUAGAUAGCUGGAUGAAAUUUCAGAAAAGCUCUUCAUUACAAAAGAAAAAGUUCAAUAAUAUCAGUAUUGAGGACCACUUGUGAUACAUACUUAUUAGAUAAAGAAAAUCAUGAUGUAGAUUUCCUUCAGUGUAAUUUCAUUUUAACAGCAAAGAUGCUUCCCCCAGGGUAUAAAGAAUUUCAUUGUUAUUUUGAUUAUAAAAGUUAUUUAUAAUCAUUGUAAAAAGUGAGAAUAAACAAAAACAGCAAAGAAGAAAUAGACAUUAUCUCAAACAAUGCAGUCCCACAGAACUUUCUGCAAUAAUGGAAAUGUUCUGUACCUGUGCUGUGCAGUACAGUAGCCACUGGAUAUAUGUGACUAUUGAGCACUUCACAUGUGGCUAGUGCAACGGAAGAACUGAAAUUUUAAAUUGUAUUAAAUUGUAGUUAAUUUGAAUGUAAAACUAAAUAUAGUUUACCCUCAAACAACACAGUUUGAACUGCACAGGUCCACUUAUACUCAGAUCUUUUUCAACCAAACACAAAUGGAAAAUACAGUGUUUGCGGAUGUGAAAUGGCCUUUACAGAAGGUCCAUUUUUCAUAUAUGUGGUUCUGCAGGGCCGACUGCCAGACAUGAAUAUGCCUGGGUUUUGGCAUACGCAGGGUUUCUGAAACCAAUCGUUUCACUCCCCACCCCCCACCCCAGUAUGCAGAAUGACAACUGUAGCCACAUAGGGAGCGUAAGUGGUGGACUGUAUAAAGUCUAAACUUUCAUCAUCC
rnacentral:lncRNA from 1 species